rnacentral:rRNA from 1 species
UCUUGGUCAUUUAGAGGAAGUAAAAGUCGUAACAAGGUUUCCGUAGGUGAACCUGCGGAAGGAUCAUUAAAGAAAUUUAAUAAUUUUGAAAAUGGAUUUUUUUUUUUUUGUUUUGGCAAGAGCAUGAGAGCUUUUACUGGGCAAGAAGACAAGAGAUGGAGAGUCCAGCCGGGCCUGCGCUUAAGUGCGCGGUCUUGCUAGGCUUGUAAGUUUCUUUCUUGCUAUUCCAAACGGUGAGAGAUUUCUGUGCUUUUGUUAUAGGACAAUUAAAACCGUUUCAAUACAACACACUGUGGAGUUUUCAUAUCUUUGCAACUUUUUCUUUGGGCAUUCGAGCAAUCGGGGCCCAGAGGUAACAAACACAAACAAUUUUAUCUAUUCAUUAAAUUUUUGUCAAAAACAAGAAUUUUCGUAACUGGAAAUUUUAAAAUAUUAAAAACUUUCAACAACGAAUCUCUUGGUUCUCGCAUCGAUGAAGAACGCAGCGAAAUGCGAUACGUAAUGUGAAUUGCAGAAUUCCGUGAAUCAUCGAAUCUUUGAACGCACAUUGCGCCCCUUGGUAUUCCAGGGGGCAUGCCUGUUUGAGCGUCAUUUCCUUCUCAAACAUUCUGUUUGGUAGUGAGUGAUACUCUUUGGAGUUAACUUGAAAUUGCUGGCCUUUUCAUUGGAUGUUUUUUUUCCAAAGAGAGGUUUCUCUGCGUGCUUGAGGUAUAAUGCAAGUACGGUCGUUUUAGGUUUUACCAACUGCGGCUAAUCUUUUUUUAUACUGAGCGUAUUGGAACGUUAUCGAUAAGAAGAGAGCGUCUAGGCGAACAAUGUUCUUAAAGUUUGACCUCAAAUCAGGUAGGAGUACCCGCUGAACUUAAGCAUAUCAAUAAGCGGAG